rnacentral:piRNA from 1 species
UGUGCACCAUUUGACAUUAAGGUUGUCUUG